rnacentral:snRNA from 1 species
CUGCUUUGGCAGCACAUAUACUAAAAUUAGAAUGAUUCAGAGAAAAUUACCGUGGGCUAUGUGGAAAGAUGACAUGCAAAUUUGUGAAGCAUUUCAUAUUUUU